rnacentral:rRNA from 1 species
GUCCACGCCCUAAACGAUGCUCACUAGGUGUUGGGGAAGCGAUUCCUUGGUACCGUAGCUAACGCGUGAAGUGAGCCGCCUGGGGAGUACGGCCGCAAGGUUAAAACUCAAAGGAAUUGACGGGGACCCGCACAAGCGGUGGAUGAUGUGGAUUAAUUCGAUGCAACGCGAACAACCUUACCUACCCUUGACAUGUCUGGAAGCCUGCUGAAAGGCGGGUGUGCCUGAAAGGGACCGGAACACAGGUGCUGCAUGGCUGUCGU